rnacentral:rRNA from 1 species
AUUGAACGCUGGCGGCAUGCCUUACACAUGCAAGUCGAACGGCAGCACGGGUGCUUGCACCUGGUGGCGAGUGGCGAACGGGUGAGUAAUACAUCGGAACAUGUCCUGUAGUGGGGGAUAGCCCGGCGAAAGCCGGAUUAAUACCGCAUACGAUCUACGGAUGAAAGCGGGGGACCUUCGGGCCUCGCGCUAUCGGGUUGGCCGAUGGCUGAUUAGCUAGUUGGUGGGGUAAAGGCCUACCAAGGCGACGAUCAGUAGCUGGUCUGAGAGGACGACCAGCCACACUGGGACUGAGACACGGCCCAGACUCCUACGGGAGGCAGCAGUGGGGAAUUUUGGACAAUGGGCGAAAGCCUGAUCCAGCAAUGCCGCGUGUGUGAAGAAGGCCUUCGGGUUGUAAAGCACUUUUGUCCGGAAAGAAAACCUUGGCCCUAAUACGGUCGGGGGAUGACGGUACCGGAAGAAUAAGCACCGGCUAACUACGUG